rnacentral:rRNA from 1 species
CCGACUCUAAAUAGUCGGCGAAUAAGGGGUGGGUAAGGACGGUGCCAGCCGCCGCGGUAAUACCGGCGCCUCAAGUGGUAGUCGCUUUAUUGGGCCUAAAACGUCCGUAGCCGGUCUGGUACAUUCGUGGGUAAAUCAACUCGCUCAACGAGUAGAAUUCUGGGAGGACGGCCAGACUUGGGACCGGGAGAGGUGUGGGGUACUCUCAGGGUAGGGGUAAAAUCCUGUCAUCCUGAGAGGACCACCUGUUGCGAAGGCUCCACACUAGAACGGAUCCGACGGUCAGGGACGAAGCCUAGGGGCACGAACCGGAUUAGAUACCCGGGUAGUCCUAGGUGUAAACGCUGUGGACUUGAUGUUGGGUGUGCUCCGAGCACUCUCAGUGUCGAAGCGAAGGUGAUAAGUCCACUGCCUGGGAAGUACGGUCGCAAGGCUGAAACUUAAAGGAAUUGGCG